AUUGAACGCUGGCGGCAUGCUUUACACAUGCAAGUCGAACGGUAACAGGCCGCAAGGUGCUGACGAGUGGCGCACGGGUGAGUAAUGCAUCGGAACGUGCCCAGUCGUGGGGGAUAACUACUCGAAAGAGUAGCUAAUACCGCAUACGAUCUAUGGAUGAAAGCGGGGGACCGUAAGGCCUCGCGCGAUUGGAGCGGCCGAUGUCAGAUUAGGUAGUUGGUGGGGUAAAGGCUCACCAAGCCAACGAUCUGUAGCUGGUCUGAGAGGACGACCAGCCACACUGGGACUGAGACACGGCCCAGACUCCUACGGGAGGCAGCAGUGGGGAAUUUUGGACAAUGGGCGCAAGCCUGAUCCAGCAGUGCCGCGUGCAGGAAGAAGGCCUUCGGGUUGUAAACUGCUUUUGUACGGAACGAAACGGCUCUGGUUAAUACCCGGGGCUAAUGACGGUACCGUAAGAAUAAGCACCGGCUAACUACGUG
rnacentral:rRNA from 1 species